rnacentral:rRNA from 1 species
AUUGAACGCUGGCGGCAGGCCUAACACAUGCAAGUCGAGCGGAGCGCGGGACGGGUGCGUAAUGCCUAUGAAUCUGCCUGGGAGUGAGGGAUAACGUCAGGAACCGGGAGCUAAUACCGCAUCCUCUCAGAUGAGCCUAGGCCGGAUUGGCUAGUUGGUGGGGUAAAGGCCUACCAAGGCGACGAUCCGUAACUGGUCUGAGAGGAUGAUCAGUCACACUGGAACUGAGACACGGUCCAGACUCCUACGGGAGGCAGCAGUGGGGAAUAUUGGACAAUGGGCGAAAGCCUGAUGCAGCCAUGCCGCGGGUGUGAAGAAGGUCUUCGGAUUGUAAAGCACUUUAAGCGGGGAGGCGUUACCAACAGAAGAAGCACCGGCUAACUCCGUGCCAGCAGCCGCGGUAAUUC